AAAUGCUUCCACCUUCUACCACUACCGGCUUGGAUGAUCUCAUUUGACGUGUACGACCAGGUGCGUCAAAACUCAAAACAGCUGAUUAGAUGUUCGUUCCUGUGCCUGUCAAAAUGACUGACGACUGCGUUGAGUUUUUUUUUAUUUAAUCGAGCUGCAGAAACGAUCGACUGCUGUUCCACUACCCUACAACGUUCCAAAACCCCUCCAGCAGUAUUCCAUAUCUGCUUUGCUACAUGGAGUUUGGAUGAAGUGAUGGCUACGCUGUUUGUGGUAAUGUCGGAGCUGUGUAAUCAUAAGAUUUAACUGGAACUACGCGAUGUAUGUUUUGAGUCGCAUCCGACGCUGGUAAAGAUUGAAAGUGAGGAUCAAAGAAAUUCUACCUCUCGACCGGUUGCACUGAAUUGUUUAAUGCAACGAGUUGAGCAAACGAAUUGAAGUUGCACUAUGAAUCAAUCGGCAUCGUAGAAUCGCUGCUUGAGUUACAAAAACACUUCUUCCCUGCAAAUACAGUUAUGGCGAAUGGAGUAUCGAUGCUUGGUGAAUAUUAAGGUUCUGGGUCUAUUGUACAGAGCAUGUUUCGCUACGAUCUUCUUGGUGGAUUUGAUUCCCGUAAGGUGUUGAAAUGAAAAUUGAGGAAUUUGUAGCUUUUCAACCAGUAUCAAACUAAUGCGCUUCCGAGCCUUUUCACAAUGGCAGCGAAAGUCCCUGAUGCUACUAAGUUGGUUACAGUUGGUGCAAAUCCUGGUACAAUUUGGCUUUUGUCACCGGAGCAGACUACAAGAUGCCGAACUGCUUUAUUUUUAUUUUCUUUCAAAAGAACCAAUAGUAUUGUGAUCACAGUAUUAUAUGCAAGAAGUUCCACAAAACUUUUAUUCAUAUUUUAUCCUUCCUUGUAAAACAAGGCUGCGAUAAUUCAUAAAGCCACACAUAGU